CAAAUCCGUUCUAAAUGAUAUUUGGGUUUCAGUGACAUCUGGAACUGAAGAUUAUUCUUCUAAUCCAUUGAGGAAAAGUCAAUACGAGGAAAGCUUAUUUAAAUGUGAAGAUGAUAUAUAUGAGCUGGAUAUGCUAGUAGAGUUGGCAAAUUCAACUGUUGAGAAAGUUCAGAAUUUGGUA